rnacentral:tRNA from 1 species
AGUAUUAUGUCUGAUUAAAGAAAUAAAUUGUAAAUUUAUUUAAAAAGAAUGAAUUUCUUUUAAUACUA